UACGGAGGAUCCGAGCGUUAUCCGGAUUUCUUGGGUUUAAAGGGUGCGUAGGUGGCCUGUUAAGUCAGGGGUGAAAGACGGUAGCUCAACUAUCGCAGUGCCCUUGAUACUGAUGGGCUUGAAUGAACUAGAGGUAGGCGGAAUGUGACAAGUAGCGGUGAAAUGCAUAGAUAUGUCACAGAACACCAGUUGCGAAGGCAGCUUACUAUGGUUUUAUUGACACUGAGGCACGAAAGCGUGGGGAUCAAACAGG
rnacentral:rRNA from 1 species